rnacentral:rRNA from 1 species
CCUACGGGGGGCAGCAGUGAGGAAUAUUGGUCAAUGGACGAGAGUCUGAACCAGCCAAGUAGCGUGAAGGAUGACGGCCCUAUGGGUUGUAAACUGCUUUUAUAUGGGAAUAAAAUGUUCCACGUGUGGGCUUUUGUAUGUACCAUAUGAAUAAGGAUCGGCUAACUCCGUGCCAGCAGCCGCGGUAAUACGGAGGAUCCGAGCGUUAUCCGGAUUUAUUGGGUUUAAAGGGUGCGUAGGUGGGUUGUUAAGUCAGUUGUGAAAGUUUGCGGCUCAACCGGGAAAUUGCCGUUGAAACUGGCAGUCUGGAGUGCAGUAGAGGUAGGCGGAAUUCGUGGUGUAGCGGUGAAAUGCUUAGAUAUCACGAAGAACUCCGAUUGCGAAGGCAGCUCACUGGACUGCAACUGACACUGAGGCACGAAAGUGUGGGUAUCAAACAGGAUUAGAUACCCCAGUAGUC